UCGGGGCGUCCGGGGGCGCGGCGCGCGUCCCCGACCGGACGCCGCGGCGCGUUAGGCGGCCCGGCGGGCGCGCGGCCGGUGGCCGAGAGCGAGGCGGGCCCGGAGCGCGGCGCAGGGAACGCGCGGCCGUCGGGUCGCGCGAAGGACCGCUGCGCGGGGCCGGACGCUCGGCGGCGCGCUCUCUCGCCGACAAGUGAGGAGGCGAAGGGAGGUCGUCGUCGGGCCCUCAGGGCUCGUUGAGAAAGUCACCAGUCACAGGUGUGUACAUGUGACACCGGCACCUUGAACUCUCCGGAGCACUGGAAACUCCUGCAGGCUCUGUCUACUGAAGAGGCCCAGAAGCAAUGUUACCCAGAGGUAAUGAACAUACUAGUGCCAAGACCUUGGUUUCAAAAAUACUGUUCAUCACUGAAAGGAAGGAAUGUUCCCUGGAUAAAUGGCUGAUUCCAGAUCAGAAACAGAGAAUUGUACAAGAACCAACUUACAAUAAUGGUAUUACAGGUAGUCAACCACAUAAAAACCCACCACAGGAAGCGAAUUGAAAAGUAGCCACAACAAGUAAACCAAAGAAGAAAGCAAACUGAAACCAUUCUUGCAUAUGGACAAGAACCUCCCUUUUUAAUCCUUUUUUCUCAUGUAAUAAUUAGCAGAAGGCUUUUUAUAUGACAGGGGCUUGUUAUAGUUUAAGGUCCAGCCAGGUAACUGUGGGUUACUAAGACUGACUCAGAAAUAGGGCGAUGUGGGGAUAAAGUUCCCUGAACAUGGAACAAGACAGAAAAGCACUUGAUAACUAGGGCUAGAAUUCCUAAUUAGGAAUAGAGCUCCCAGUGAAAGAUGCUACAUCCCAAAGUGGGGGCCGACAGUGGGGAUGGUAAAUACCUAAUGUCAUUCUAUCCCUCCUUU